rnacentral:lncRNA from 1 species
UAAUCACUAGUGAACCGGAGCUCUUAAACGAUCAUAGCAUUAAUUAGCAUGCAUCAGCUUACCGUGUAGGCUUUCCACAUGGAUUUCAAACCAAAACAAAAUAUGCACUAUGAUACUGGGUCAAUUUAAUUCAGCAGAUCGUUCUCGUGAUGCUAGAGUCCAACCGACAGACCUAACGGCCUUGUAUCGACGUGUGAGUCAGUUCUCUCGUAACCAAGACCCUUGUGUCUAUGUCUAUGUGUGACUCAUUGAUUUUCUCGUAACCAAGUGCUUCAUGGAUGCAGAAGGAACCGUUGGACGAGUGGGGAAUAGAGACAAGAACGUAGCGAUUCUCGGAUACGAUGUGCUGGCUCUUCCUCCGAUUCCUCCCAUUCCCAAUGGACCUCCCUCACCAUCUCCUGUUCUCCUAGCUAGCAUGCACAUCCUCUCCCCCCUCUAUCUUCUGGUUUAUUGCC